UACGUAGGGGGCAAGCGUUGUCCGGAAUCAUUGGGCAUAAAGAGCGCGUAGGCGGUCCGAUAAGUCUGCCGUGAAAGCCAAGGGCUCAACCCUUGGAUGCCGGUGGAUACUGUCGGGCUAGAGUCCGGAAGAGGCGAGUGGAAUUCCUGGUGUAGCGGUGAAAUGCGCAGAUAUCAGGAAGAACACCCGUGGCGAAGGCGGCUCUCUGGGACGGUACUGACGCUGAGACGCGAAAGCGUGGGGAGCGAACAGG
rnacentral:rRNA from 1 species